GCUUCCCUCAUCUGUUCUCUUCCAAAGAAGCUGGUCCUUAGCCUGUAUUGCGGAGCAAGCUUUCGGCGACCAGCUGGACCCUGGGCACCCUUCUUCGAACAAUGGCUUUUAAUUCUCAGACUAGAACGUUUAGGAUUACAAAAGAAACUGGUUCUUUUCACAUUCUUAUUCUUGUGAUGUAGCAUUCCGCAUAUAUAUAUAUAUAUAUAUAUAUAUAUAUAUAUAUAUGUAUCCAACUAUCCUAAAAGACACUACCCUUCAUCAUUCCAUGCCAUUAGACAUGUAUAGGACCAUGCAUGGUGAUCUCCUCCAGACAAAAGUAAAUGCUGGUGCAGAACAGUGUCUUCCUGGUACUACACAUGAAGAUGUCCCGCUCUCCCCUGCUCAAGGAGAGAGUGCCUGACCUGAGCUGGGCCCAUCAGAUCCAGUACUUACCUGGAAUACGAAAAAGAUGGAGAGAGUGACCAAAGAUUACAAAAAUCUCUGAAGCUUAUCUACUUGAGAGAGAGUCCCUGAAGAUACUGGCCUCUCAUUCCUGCUAUGUAUAUCCAAUGUGACUGAACUCUGAAUAAAAUAUACAAGUUAUAACAAUGUAGCAAUUGACCCAGCAAACGAGGACACAAACGUGUUGGAGGGUAAGGUGGUGAGAGGCGUGUUUGGGGGUGGUGGUGAUGAGCAAGUAUGUGAAGGAGAGGUAGUGCCUAAACUUGAAAAUCAAAAAGUAAUAAUAUCUAUUUAGACAUAAGGAGAUAAAUAACGAAAUAAUUGCUUCUAUGUGAUGAAACUCUGGGAGUACACAAGGGGACUGCUAUUUUACUAAACAAAUUUUCAAAUAUAUAUAACUUUGAUAAAGUAUCCAAAUAAAAUAAUUCCUUUCCCAUAUAAGUAUGUGUAUAUAUGUAUUCAUUGUAUUUUGAAGAUAAAUUUUUACACAGUCAUGUUAAUCGCUUUCAUUUAAGGAUUUGAGUUUGAUGUCUUGCAUACAAUGUGAUCCCACUGUAUGACUACACAAAUGUUGGCAAAAGUGAGUUCAGAGGAAAUGGUAGGCAAGUACUUCCCAGUUUUGGCCAGAAGAUGGAGAAAAAAGAAUUCUCAAAAAAUGUUAAAGGUGUCUACAGAGAAAUAGACAAGUGAUGCACGACAGAUACAUGUGUCAGUCUGGUCCCUGCAGUUGUAUUUGUAAUAAUACACAUUGGAGCAAUUUCAUGGCCAUCGGUUAGAGAAUGUUUGAGGAAUGAUCCAUUCAUAUCAAGAAGGACAUUUCAAAGAUCAAAACCUGAUGGAAAUGCUGGAGACCAUGGCGCUGAUAGGAGCUCAUGCGUGUGGACCAAUUACUACGUGACAGGCAUUGGCUCCAUGCUUUUCCUGCACUGCUCAUUUAAACACUGGACAACCUAAGUGUUCUGAUUUAUCCCAUUGGACAGAUAGAAAUGGAGGCACAGAAGAUUAAUGUGUUUAACUUCAAACCCUGGCAGAUUAGGUUUUUCAUCCAGAGCCUGUGGCUUCACCAUAGCUGUGAUUCACGUUCUGUCAUUCUCCACUUUAGGAAUUUCCAGUAUUCCAAAUAUGAGAAGCUGAGAAAACAAACAACAAACUCAAAACCCUAAAAACCGGAUACGUAAGGGUAGAUGUUUGUUGGGUGUGGAUUAAAAAUGGACUUUUUUUGCCCCAAGCAACAAAGAGGCACCUUAGAAAAUAGACAAGAGACAAGAAGAAGAGAAGCUUUAAGAGAUAUUUGGUCCAAGGAAGAGACUCUUCAGAUGGAAGGUCACGUCAGCUAGAAACAUUAAUAUGACUGGAUGGGCUCAAACCACUGACUUUUCAGUCAACAUCUGACAGCACUAACCCAGUGUUCCAGAGACACUGCUUGUUAAACAGUGAAUGCUGUUGCUCAAUUGUGUCAUCCGUAAUUGUCAAAUAUUGGCAUUUAGUAGCACAAGGAAGUAUUCUCCGUUGCCAAGCUAGAGCACCCAUAACUCUUCUGUUUUGUUGAACAUUGUUCCCCACCACAAACCCUCUUUAGAAGACUGGGGGCUCCUAAAGCAUUGAGGCCGAGAGUCCCGUCCUUGUGCAUGUUUGGGCAUUGACCCAGGGCCAAGUCAGUGGGAGACUCCUCCACGCCUACGCCAGGUCCCCAGGUGACAACUGCAGUCUCUGGAUCUGAAGUCAUCCACUUUCCCAUUCCUAGCUCACCUCACCCAUCGUGAAGCCUGGUUAGUAUUGCCAGAGACCCGAGUGGGCAGAUGCCCACACCAAAGACAGAACCUGCUGCGUGCCCACCUUGCUGAUCCCUCCCUCCUUCUAGACAAAGGCUUCAUAAGCCAGGGACCUUGGGUUUGCUCACAAGGCAGCCCCUCACCUAGUAGGCAUUAGUUCAUUAUGUAUAUGUAUAUGUAGUCCUCAGGUUGUAUUCCUUAAAUAUAUAUAGUUUAAGGAUAUGUAUUAUAUAUAUAUAAAUAUAUAUGUAAUUCCUUAAAUAUAUAAUUUUAAUACAAUUUUUUUUUUUGAGAUGGAGUCUCACUCUGUCUCCCAGGCUGGAGUGCAGUGGCACCAUCUUGGCUCACUGCAAGCUCCACCUCCCAGGUUCACGCCAUUCUCCUGCCUCAGCCUCCCAAGUACCUGGGACUACAGGCGCCCGCCACCACGCCAGGCUAAUUUUUUUUUUUUUUUGUAUUUUUAGUAGAGAUGGGGUUUCACCAUGUUAGCCAGGAUGGUCUCGAUCUUCUGACCUCAUGAUCCACCCACCUCGGCCUCCCAAAGUGCUAGGAUUACAGGCGUGGACCACCGCGCCUGGCCAAAACAAAGUUUUUAAAAGAUUCCUUUAAUAAACAUUUACAAUAACAUCAAGAAAUAUAAACGACAUAGCAAAUAUGUGAAAGCCAGCCAGACUCUCAAUGGCAUCCAGAAACAUAAACUACAUAGAAAAGACAUGAAAGCCAGCCAGGCUUGGCUUCGAAUCCCAGCACUUUGGAAGGCUGUGGCAGGAGGGUUGCUUGAUCUCAGAAGCUUGAAAUUAGCCUAGGCAACAUAGUGAGCCCUCAUCUCUACUGAAAAUCAGAAAAAUUACCCGGGUUUGGUGGUGUGAGCCUGUAGUCCCAGGAAUCAGUGGAUGAGGCCCUAGGAUGUCAUAGGCCUGAGAAUUCCAUGCUGCAGUGAGCUGUGAUUGUGCCACUGUACUCCAGCCUGGGUGAAAGAGUGAGAUCCUGUGCAGAAACAAAAGAAGAAAAAAAGAGAUAUGAAAGCCUAUAUAUUGAAGACUACCAAGUACUGCUUAGAGCAGUUAAAGACCUUUGGAAUAGAAAAUGUUUCUUCUUGCAUUUCAAGAUUGCUUUUGUUUUGGGGGGACACACUAUUUUUUAGGAAUAUGAAGUUCUUCUUAGGCAUUCCUGUAAAAAAGGCCACUUCUUGAUAGGAUUGUAUUGAAUCUGUGGGUUGCUUUGAGUUGUAUUUUUAUCUUAACCAUGUUACAACUUCCAACCCAUGGACACAAGAUGUCUGUCCAUUGAUUUAGGUCUUCCUGAAUCUCCUCGAGCAAUGUUCUGUAGUUGUCUGUGUACAAGUACGGCACCUUCUUGAACAAAUUUAUUCCCAGGCAUAUUAUUCUUACAAGUGCUAUUAUAAAUGAAAUCAUUGUGUCAAUUUUCUUCUCAGAUUGUUCAUUGCUAACACAACUGAUUGUUUACUGAAAGUUUGCUGAAUUCACUUAUUAACUCUAGUAGUGUGUGUAUGUGAGUGUGUGUGUGUGUGUGUGUGUCUGGCCUCUGUGUGCAUGUAUGUGUGUUUGCAUCUGUAGGUAUUAUUUGGGAUUUUCUAUGCAUAGGAUCACACCAUCUGCAAAUUGAGAUCAUUUUGUUUUCUGUUCAAAAAUACUUUUUCUCAUGUUUAUUUUUAAAAGAUAAUUUGGCCAGGUGUAGAAUUGUAGGUGACAGUUUUUCUUUUUUUAAGUUCUUUAUUGCAAACUUCUUGUUUGUAUGUGAAAUCUUAUGCCAUCCUUAUAUUUAGUGCUCUGUAUGUAACAUGUUCUUUCCCUUUUUAUUCCUUUUAGGAUUUCCUUUUUAUCACUGGUUUUGAUGGAUUUGAUUAAGGCGUUCCUUGGUGAAGUUUUCUUCAUGUUUCUUGUUCUUAGAAUAAUCAUAUUUCUGUAAUAUUUGAAGUUUAUGGUUUCCAUGGAGCUUCUAAAUCUUUCAUCCAGUAUGUUUUAAAUAUCUUUGUCUCUCUUCUCCACUACACGCCCUUCAGGGAUUCCAUUUAGCCCUAUACUGGGGCGUUUAAAGUUUUGAUGCCGAUGGUGUUUUUAUGUUUUCAAGUCAUUUGUUACUGUGUGUUUCAUUUAUGUUAGUUUCAACUUCUAUUCCUUCUAGUUCAAUAAUCUUCUCUUCUGCAAUGUUUAAUCCACUGCCUUCUUCCAUUUCAGACUGUAAAUCAUACUUUUUAUCUACAGAAUUUGAUAUUUAAAAAAUCUUCAACCUCCCCAUUUAAUUAAAAU
ensembl:lncRNA LINC01719 long intergenic non-protein coding RNA 1719